rnacentral:rRNA from 1 species
CCUGGUAAUUAUUGCGAAAGAGUAAUACCCGAUCCCAUUCCGAACUCGGAAGUCAAGCCUUUCUGCGCCGAUGGUACUUAGUCUUAAGACUUGGAAGAGUAGGACGUUGCCAGGC